rnacentral:rRNA from 1 species
CAUGCAAGUCGGACGGCAGCGGAGGUGCUUGCACCUGCCGGCGAGUGGCGAACGGGUGAGUAACAUAUUGGAAUGUACCGAGUAGUGGGGGAUAACCAAUCGAAAGAUUGGCUAAUACCGCAUACGUCCUAAGGGGGAAAGCAGGGGAUCUUCGGACCUUGCGCUAUUUGAGCAGCCAAUAUCUGAUUAGCUAGUUGGUGGGGUAAAGGCCCACCAAGGCGACGAUCAGUAGCGGGUCUGAGAGGAUGAUCCGCCACACUGGGACUGAGACACGGCCCAGACUCCUACGGGAGGCAGCAGUGGGGAAUUUUGGACAAUGGGGGCAACCCUGAUCCAGCCAUGCCGCGUGUCUGAAGAAGGCCUUCGGGUUGUAAAGGACUUUUGUUAGGGAAGAAAAGAGAAGUGUUAAUACCACUUUUUGCUGACGGUACCUAAAGAAUAAGCACCGGCUAA